GACCGCGUAGCUCAGCGGUAGAGCAGGCGCCUUUUAAGCGUAAGGUCGUGGGUUCGAGUCCCACCGCGGUCA
rnacentral:tRNA from 3 species